rnacentral:piRNA from 1 species
UGUCUGCAUUUUGAUCAGUUGUGGCU